UGGAAGUAAAAGUCGUAACAAGGUCUCCGUUGGUGAACCAGCGGAGGGAUCAUUACCGAGUUUACAACUCCCAAACCCAAUGUGAACGUUACCAAACUGUUGCCUCGGCGGGAUCUCUGCCCCGGGCGCGUCGCAGCCCCGGACCAAGGCGCCCGCCGGAGGACCAACCCAAAACUCUUAUUGCAUACCCCCUCGCGGGUUUUUUUCUACUAUCUGAGCCUUCUCGGCGCCCCCUCGUGGGCGUUUCGAAAAUAAAUCAAAACUUUCAACAACGGAUCUCUUGGUUCUGGCAUCGAUGAAGAACGCAGCGAAAUGCGAUAAGUAAUGUGAAUUGCAGAAUUCAGUGAAUCAUCGAAUCUUUGAACGCACAUUGCGCCCGCCAGUAUUCUGGCGGGCAUGCCUGUCCGAGCGUCAUUUCAACCCUCGAACCCCUCCGGGGGGUCGGCGUUGGGGAUCGGCCCUCCCUCGCGGUGGGCCGUCUCCGAAAUGCAGUGGCGGUCUCGCCGCAGCCUCUCCUGCGCAGUAGUUUGCACACUCGCACCGGGAGCGCGGCGCGUCCACAGCCGUUAAACACCCAACUUUCUGAAGUGUUGACCUCGGAUCAGGUAGGAAUACCCGCUGAACUUAAGCAUAUCAAUAAGCGGAGGA
rnacentral:rRNA from 1 species